GACAUCCCUGAGGCCUCAGACCUUCUAUGAUGGAAGUCAUUGCAGUGCCAGAGGAGUGUGCCACAUCCCAAUGGCUGAACCAUUUUGCCCCAAAACAAGAGAGGUCCUCAUAGAAAUGGCUAAGAAGCUUGGACUCCGGUGCCAUUCAAAGGGGACGAUAGUCACAAUUGAGGGGCCUCGGUUUAGCUCCCGGGCAGAAAGCUUUAUAUUCCGUACUUGGGGCGCAGAUGUUAUCAAUAUGACCACUGUUCCAGAGGUGGUGCUUGCAAAGGAGGCCGGAUUGUGCUACGCAAGCAUUGCCAUGGCAACCGAUUAUGAUUGCUGGAAGGAGCAUGAAGAAGCAGUGUCAGUGGAUGGGGUUUUAAAGACCAUGAAAGAAAAUGCCAAUAAAGCCAAAAGUUUACUCCUAACUACUAUACCUCAGAUAGGGUCAAUGGAAUGGUCAGAAACGCUCCGUAACCUAAAGAACAUGGCCCAGUCUUCUGUUUUACCACCAAGACAUUAAAACAGCAUGGCUGACAUAAGUAGACUUUCUACUUCUAUUCUUUGGGGGAUUUGCUUAAACAAAAAUGGGAAAGAUGUGCAGCCUUCAUGCCUUUGCCUGGAAAGAAAGAGAGCUACUGCUGGAGACUCAGCCAAGACCCCGACUCCUCCAGGACCCAGAAAGAAAGCAGACAGCCUGCCGAAGUGUAAGGGAACAAAGUCCGAGAGCACAUCUGUCUCCGUUCCUCCCUAUGAAACUGACAGCAAGGAAGACUGGUGAGAACAUCCUCUUCCCUACACUGCUAAGGAACCAAUAUGAGCCCGAGAUGGGACUGUAUGGUUGUAAACUGGUGCCAUGUUUCUGGUACCUAGGUAUUCUAGGAGUUUCUCUUGAAGUUAUGGGAGAUUCAUUCAAAGAAUCAUGUGUAAAGGAGAUUACCUGUCAUAGUAAAAUAAUCAAAACUAUCUGAAUAUCAAAAAGAUUAGGCGUGCUGUGUUUCUGUUAUACUUAGGCUGUGGAGCAAUCAAAUGGGAAUCAUGUUUUCUUACAAAGAAACGAUCAGUCUUUCUCUACUUUUUUUUUUUUUAAGUAUAAUCAAAUAGUAAAGUUGUAAAAGUUUAAACGGACUUAGAGAACUUUGAAACUCUUUUGAUGGUGAAACAAAGACAACCAUGUUAUAAAUGCACUGUGUAUGUGGUUCAAGAUAUACAAGCCAAACAACCUUCUUCCCCAAAAUAAAGAAAUAAAAAGAA
rnacentral:lncRNA from 1 species